UCGAAAGAAAGGAGGAAGGAGAGGAGUUCAAAAUUACAAAACAGGCGCGAUCUCUCAGGGGUGCCCUUACCUCCGUGUUCUCCUUGUGACAGAGUGUCCCCGCUGCUUUCCAAGGCUGUUUGCGCCACACUCACCGCCGACGCCAUCUUCUCUCGCCUUCUCGAGAAGCUGACUCCAGCGGUGUUCUCCUCCCUCCUUCACUACUGAUUUCUCCUUCUGAGUCAGAUCAUUUCACUCGCUUCGCCUCUCCCCAUCUUCUCACAUUCCUCUGUGGAUUCAACUCGCACAGCCCCUGCUACGCCACUUCUCUGCACUCUGCCUCAAUUCCCAUCCAUCCUUCAUCCCGCGUCGGCGGCCAUCUUGGUCCAGGAAGUGAGGCCUGGGAUGGGGAAUCAAGGGCUGGAACAAAGCAGAGAGACCUAAAGAGCAUGGGUUUCCAAUGGCCUCAGAGAACGAUAGUACGAGCCCCGGACAGCCGAUCUCCAUGUGAAAGAAAUUAAGUUCUACGUUGUUGAAGCCAUUGUGCUUCACGGAAUAUAGCUCCUAAGUAAAUGUUUCUUGGGGUAAACGCCAUCUUGAAAAUGAACCAGUGGCAUCAACAUAGAAAACGGAGGGCCUGGCGGGCAGCAGCCUGGGGUCUGCAGCCAGGGCACCUCUGCUCCAUCAAACAGCUUGGUCAUGCGUGGGAUGGGCCCCGCAGGGAAAACAAACUGAGGAAGAAAGAGGAAGUGAGAGGCUAUUCAUUUAUCCUGAAGAUUUCAUCGCAGUGGAGCGAUACGA